GGCCCCGGCUCUUUUGCACCUGGAAUAGCCCCGCCGGAACUCCGAAAUUGGGACUGGUGAGAGGGGCCGUGAGCACGUGACUGACCUUGUUGGGUCUCCGGUGGAAGCCGUUCCCUUAGGGGCGGAACUCCAACCGAAGCAGAAACAACUGUGGUGUGACACUGGCUCUGUGCUAGAUGCUGAGUGUUAUGAAGCUGUGCACACGGCGUGGGAACCUGGAGUGAUGUGAUGGUCAAGGGGGUCUCAGAGAAGAGAUGGCAUUUGAGCUGAGGCUGAAGGAUGAGAAGGAGGCAGCCCUUCCUAGAGGGUGUUCCAGGAAGCCAGGCCAGCAUGAGCAACAUCCCUGAGGCCGGGCACAAGUCAGUCUGUUUGAGACACAGAAGGAAGCCCAGAGUGGCCACUCUGCAGUGAACGAGGCGGACAGAGGAGCAACAUGAGGCUGGGAGAGACACACAGAGGAAGAGGAGGAAGCCAUGUGACCAUGCAUGCAGAGACUGGAGUGAUGCGGCCACAAGCCAAGGAACACAUGGAGCCACCAAAAGCUGGAGGAGGCAAGAAGCAGAUUCUCCCCUGAGCCUCCAGAGAGAGAAUGGCCCUGCUGACACCUUGAUUUUGAACUUCUGGCCUCCAGACCGUGAGAAAAUACAUUUCCAUUUUAAGCAGUCAAAUCUGUGGCUGUUUGUUUCAGCAACCCCAAGAAACUAAUAUAGUGGUCUUCCCUUUCUAGGCUCUGUGAGGCCUGAGAUCUGUGGGUCAAUCAGAAUGGGCCAAAUUCAAGUCUGUUUGUGGACGGAACCAGCACCAAGCAGCUCGUACUGGCAAAAGCAGAACAAACGGGCUCAGACAGAAUUGACUUAUCAAGAAGUGGUUCAAAGACUCAUCGGCAGUGAUAGAGCCUAACAUCAAGGUUCAGAGCACAGACUUGGCAGCCAGAUGGAGUAGGUUCAAAUUCCGGCUCCACUUCUCAGGGACCAGGAAACCUGGGGCAGUUUUCUGAAGCUCUCUGUGCCUCAGUUUAUCCACGUGUAAAAUGAAGACACUAAUAGCAGUCCCCACCUGCAGGGUAGUUGUAAGAAUUAUAUGACUUAACGUAAAGCCCUUGGAACUGACCGUGCCAACAUAUCACAGGUGCAAUAUGAGUGUCUGCUAUGAUUACAAUAACCCAAAUCAAAACAGCCACAAAUGAGCUCAGAAUAGUGAAAUCGAUGCAAAUGUGCUUACGCCUACAUAGACUGAGUCAAACCAGUUAAAACUAGGUGAAACUAGUGUAAACCUGCUCAGACCUCUUGGGUCAACCCUACAAAAACCAGAUUAAAGCAGUCAAAUAGGAUUAGAGCAGGUCUGGAAUCUGUACAUGCAUUUGCACAUGCGAAGGGUCUCUGUUCUCUGUGUGUGUCAGUUUGGACGGUAACAAACAGCCCCACACAUCUCCCAGGGGUGAGAGUGAUGCAUAGGCAGAGGCCAUGGAAGUAAGUCGACAUCUAAGAGAGACCAAGACGUAUUUCCCUGUCGGAAGCACAACCAACAUCUGCUGAAAGAAACACUCAAAUUACUUAUCCUAGGUCAAGCCUC